UGCGUAGGCGGCCAGAUCAGUCAGGCGUGAAAGUUUUCGGCUUAACCGGAGAAUUGCGUUUGAUACUGUUUGGCUAGAAUCAGGAUGAGGUUGGCGGAAUGUGGCAUGUAGCGGUGAAAUGCAUAGAUAUGCCAUAGAACACCGAUUGCGAAGGCAGCUGACUGGACCUGAUUGACGCUGAGGCACGAAAGCGUGGGGAGCGAAACAG
rnacentral:rRNA from 1 species